rnacentral:rRNA from 1 species
AUGGCUGGUGUAAAAGUUAUUACUGAAUCCGGGAACAUUGCUAGGGUGUGGAGCGAUCCUAUUAACGGACUGCUUCCGUUUAAGGAUCAAUAUCUGCAGCUCGUUAAUAUAUGUAAUGUCCCUGAGUGUACCAUUAAACAAGUGCUAAGUGUGGAGACCGACUCCUUUUUCAGGCGCAGGCUUAAUCCUGCUCUUGCUGAACAAUGGGUUACAAUCUUAGAUAUAGUUAACAACCUGCGUCUUACUGACAAAGACGAUCGAGUGGUUUGGAGUUUAAACCAGAAUGGUAAAUUUAGUACCAAAUCUGUUUACAAAUGGCUUGAAAAACCUCUCAACAGGUGCCAUUAUAAGUGGAUUUGGAAGGCCAAAAUUCCUCUCAAGAUUAAAAAUUUUAUGUGGCAGCUUUCGCAAGACGCGGUGUUGACUAGACAGGUGAUGCGCCAUAGGAAUUGGCCUGGGAAUCUUGAUUGUUCUUUUUGCAAUGAGAUUGAGACUUCCCAGCACUUGUUCUUUACUUGUCCUGUUGCAAAGAGUGGUGUGGCGAUCUAUUGGGGUGGCUAUUGGCACCGAUAA